GAAAAACACCAAUUUGAACAAUCAACAUAAAAGGAUAUCAUUCAUUAGAAAAACAAAUAAUCAAAGUGUUCAAUCGAAAAAUGAUUUUAUUAAUAAUAAUAAUUUUAAUGAUAGUGAUAGUUAUAGUAGUAGCCGUAGUAAUAUAAACCGUGACUGUAACAAGCGCGAUUAUAGCAACAGCAACAAUAGAAACCAUAAUAAUGAAGUUAGUUAUAACAGAUUAAUAAAUAGGCACAACAAAAUAAACAGUAAUGACAAAUAUAAUAUUAAUAACUUACAUAGAAAACACGUUUCUGAUACAUACAAUAACAGAUUUGAUUGUACAAAUACAUUACAUAAUGUCAAAAAUUGUCGAACUACUUUUAUAGGUUUCAAAAGAUAUUGUUUUACUAAAAAAAGGCUUCAUUUUAACGAUAAGUUAAAAAAUGAUAUUAUUUUAAAAACAGUUAGUAGUGCAAGAAAUUAUAUUCAAAAAUAGUAUAAAGAAAAACCUUCAUAAUUUUGUAUAUAAUAACGAAAGUGUAUAUUACAGUUUUGACGACCGAUAUAAUAACACAAACCAAGAAGAAUAUACCAAACACGAAGAACCCAAACAAAUUUAUAUACUAAAAAGCAAUUUAAGUGAAUUGAAAAGUUUAAGAUCAAGUAUAAACACAUUUUCUAGUUUCGAGUUAAAUAAAACGCCUUUAUUAUCAAAUAUUGAAAAUAACAAUUAUAAUUACCAAAAUAAUUCUAGUAACUUUGUGUCUAAGGACAUAAAUUCGUUCAAAAUUUUCACAAAAAACAACCAUAAAGAAAUAAGCCCGUUAUUAUCUUAUAGUAAUAAUAAAAGCAAUAACAACAGUAAUAACUCGUCUUUAGUGCUUAACGACAAUCAUAAUUUACAUGGUAAAGAUUUAAAUUUGAUAAAACUAAACAAUCAGAGUAACAUAUCUUUAUUAAAAAAAAAGUUCAAAAUGGGUACUGAUGAUGAUAAUGACUUAUUAGUUGAAGAACGUUUAAUGAAAAAUAUGAGCGAACAUCCUGUACAAUUUCGAACUGCUGAGGAAUGUGAAAGAUAUUGUAAUGAUAGUAAAAUACUGAACCCAGAAUACAAACAAUUAGAAUCUAGAAUGUUAGGAGAAAGGUUUUUUCAAACGGCUCAUGAACAAUAUACUGCUAUUAUGGGUAAUUCUUCUUUUUCCAACUAUGAACAUAAUGUUAUUAUCCCAGAAUAUGGUAAUAGCCGUUUUAGAACGGACAAUAAUAGUAGUGGGGGAGGGUACAACACGAUGAUGUAUAAUAAUACUGGCUAUCAUGGUAAUGUGAAUAUGUACAAUAACAAUGAAUUUAGGAGUACUACUAUGUGCGAAACUGGUAAUAGUACUUUCUAUGACAAUAAUAAUUAUAUUAA
rnacentral:lncRNA from 1 species